AGCGAACGCUGGUGGCAGGCCUAACACAUGCAAGUCGAACGAACUCUUCGGAGUUAGUGGCGGACGGGUGAGUAACACGUGGGAACGUGCCUUUUGGUUCGGAAUAACUCAGGGAAACUUGUGCUAAUACCGAAUGUGCCCUUCGGGGGAAAGAUUUAUCGCCAUUAGAGCGGCCCGCGUCUGAUUAGCUAGUUGGUGAGGUAACGGCUCACCAAGGCGACGAUCAGUAGCUGGUCUGAGAGGAUGACCAGCCACACUGGGACUGAGACACGGCCCAGACUCCUACGGGAGGCAGCAGUGGGGAAUCUUGCGCAAUGGGCGAAAGCCUGACGCAGCCAUGCCGCGUGAAUGAUGAAGGUCUUAGGAUUGUAAAAUUCUUACACCGGGGACGAUAAUGACGGUACCCGGAGAAGAAGCCCCGGCUAACUUCGUG
rnacentral:rRNA from 1 species